rnacentral:SRP_RNA from 1 species
GCCGGGUGCAGUGGCGUGUGCCUGUGAUCCCAGCUACUUCUGAGGCUGUUGGAUCACUUGAGUUCAAAUUCGGGUGUCCGCACUAAGUUCAGCACCAAUAUGGUGACUCUGAGGGAGCUUGGAGCUACCAGGUUGGUCUAAGGAGGGGUGAACCGGCCCAGGUUGGGAACAGAGCAGGUCAAAUCCCCCAUCAGUAGUGGGUGAAUAGACAAUGUAGAGCAGCCUGGUCAAAACAGUGAGACACUGACUUUU